GGCCCGGCCCGGCCCGGCUACGCCAGGGCCGCAGCACAGUGUGAAGGUCACCGUCGCUCACACAAUUUUUUCCACAAGAGUCGCUUCCUGAAGCGUUUACCGCUGUCGCUUUGUGCCGCUCUCGGUAGAGCAGGCAGGAACGCGUACAACCGAACGGGCCACAUCUCGCGGAAACGCUGUGCCCCACGGGGCCGGACACGAAGCACAGCGCGAGGCGGUGGCGCACCGGAUUUGGGGUUCUGUUCCCACCUGCUCCUCCUCACCAUUGCGGUGCCAAGCGUCACAUUGCCGGGCUUUACCGUCGGUCACUGAAGUGAUCCGAGACAAUGAAAUGCCAAAGAACUUCACGGUGGUUUCCUAGAGGGACGACGGGGAAGCGUGGUCCCGGCUUCUUGUUUGGGCGCUCAAGGCUCGAUGGUUCUGCCUGCUGCCUUCUUUGACAGCAGACUCCAAGUUUGUGAAGAGGGGCCAAAGGUGGUCAUUAGAGUGGAUAAUAUAGCCAUGAAGUGAAAAGACAUUGGCAAAACAAAAAAAUACUAUCAAGAGAUUCAGUUAUUUCAAGUCUCCAAAACCUCACUUGUACCGAUGUCCACAAUUUGGAACAGUAGUCCAUGGUAUCAGCUUAUUUAGUGUACGCAGAGAGAAGUGACUAUUUCAAAUGCAUAAAAGCCAAUCAGCACAAACAUUACCAUUACAGGCAUCUUCCCUGAAAGCUGGCAAUAAAUAGCUAGAUGAUGCAACUUAGACUAAACAAGUGACAGGCAACUAGAGUUUACGUACUCAUUUAAUCCAGACUGGCCCCCAGGGAUCCCAUGGCAAGCCAGAGUAACAGAUGCAGAGUGUUGAGGAAGAGAGCCUAUAUUCACUUACCCCACACGCAUGUGCUCUCUUGUAGUGGCUCCAGAGCGCCACACUGUGGCCGAUUAAUUUUGAGGGCUUUAAAUUUAUUAAUCUAAUGUGUAAGCAAUGGAAGUAAAAUAAAUAGCAUGAGAACUUGGGUCUUUGAAGAGACUAAUUAAGGAAUAGUCUCCUAGAGAUUAGCCAGGCUAUUAUUUGAUGUGAUCAGAAGCAUCUCACACUCUUACUAUCCCCCACAAGAUUCCACAUAAUUAAUUGUAAGAUGAAACAGUGAGUGAAAAUUUUAAUCUGACACCCUGGAUAUAUGCAAAUAUAUAUCUUGUCUGCAUUUCUUCCUGUUCAUAUAGAACAAAAUUAAAAGGAGUUCUAAACUAAAUUUUAAGUGCAUUUCAUAUCCAUGAUUAAAAGACUGACCUACUGAACUUAAAAAAAAGCCAAAACAUUUGCAUGUGUUAGAAGUAGACUAAGCGCUGUUAAAAAAAAAUACUAUUUUUGAACUAACCAAACUUGGCAUGAUUUCAAGCAAAAGCAGUUGUGAGAAAUCUCUUGCCAGACAGACUCCUUUGAGAAUCUCCUACUAAUAACAUAUGCUGCUGUCACUUUAAAAAAAAAGACUACUACUUUUAAGUUAGUAACAUGCCACAAAGGAUCAAAAAUUCAGCCUAAGUCAUCAAUUAUAAAAAAAUUAUUUAAAAUAGACUUACAGAGCAAAACUCCAAAAACUACCAAGCCACUUGUAUUCUCUCUUUAGGGGAUGCCCGAGUUAGAGCGUAAACUGGUGAAACAAGUAGUGCACCUUUUCUGUAUUCCCCCCAUAAAACAGAAGCGUGACUAAGGGAUUUAUCAUGUCAUCCUUCAGAAAGGAGGUGACUAGACUUAUUUAGUUGGUGUUUCUUAAAAAAAGAGAGUGCUACAACGUAACAUUAAGCUUGUAGGGAAAAAUAUCCUUUAGGAAAAAAGCAGAAGCCUCAAAAAACACCAGCCCAUCAUCCAUGGAAAACACUGAUGGAAGUAGAUUUUUCUUCCUCAGUUACACUAUAGAAUAUAAAGCGAUUGUCCAUGGACAUGUAUCACCAUGUACUUUCUUGUACAUGCAA